CAAUCUGCCCUCUGGAUGUCAAUCUGCCCUCUGGAUGUUGAAGUCUGCAUCUCUAGUUCAACAUUCUGAACUACAACUUUUCGACAUUUCCUUGCUUUUUGGUGUGGAACAGAACAUAUCAAUCACUUUAUAGUUGUAUAAAGUGCUGCAUUGCUCAGUUAGCUUCUGCUGAAUGGUGUGCUAAAACACAUACUAAAACACAUACUACUAAAACACAAAAUACUAAAACACUAAAUACUAAAACACUAAAUACUAAAACACACAAUGUAACGUGUAACAUAAUGUAACUUGUGGUUCUAACUUGGUUAAUAUUUUCUCCCAUUGCAUUUACAAUCAUCAUCAUCAUCAUCAUCAUCAUCCUCAUCAUCCUCAUCCUCAUCAUCAUCAUCAUCAUCACCUAACCAAUGUUGACUAUACAGGCUGCCACCCAAAGCUAAUGCUAAACCAUUCAUCUCUGGGUUAAAGAAAAGACUGAACACUGAGCGUCAGAAGCAUCAGUAUCGCCUCCACUCUGUGGCGUGUGUUGGCACUGAGGUCCACCUGGCAGCCUGCCCCCUGGAGUCCAACAAGGGAAAUGCCACAGGGUCCUGUGAAGGUGGCAUGCCAGCCGUGGUCAGCUGUGUGCCUGGACCACAGUACGUACAGAACAACGGACUGAAGAAGAAGAUGCUCAAACCGAUGGUGAUUAGGAGUAGUAAUG